UUCCUAAGAACUGCUCCUGGACACAGUGUUCUAUGUUGACAUGUCUUACAUUUUAUUGUGUCGCCUAUUUGUAUAGUUACUCGGAUCUUACAUUCUGUAUUUUUGUCAAUGCAGGUGUGUUCUUCCUACUAUAAAGCAACAUGGAUUUCUUUAAAUUAAAUUGUGCAUAUUGUGGAAAAUAAAUCUUGUGUGUCUAUAGUCAUGUUCAUGUAUGUUCUGAACUGAGACAAAUAUUCUUCAUUGUCUAUGCUUUUCCCUUCUGUUAAUGAUGUUAGUGCAGCUCUCCAUCUUAUUAAUUCCUUACCCAUUCACUUGAAAUAUUGCCUAAAUAUUAUUAUUUUUGUUGUUGGUUUAGCAGUGUGACUUAGAUCUUCUACAUUGCCCAUAGAGAAUCUUCAAAAGUGUAGUCAUAUAGAGAAUCUUCAAAAGUGUAGUCAUAUAUGUCACUUGAUAACUUCCAGCACAUUAAUCUAUACUGUUCCUAUGCGUUUCAGUUGUCACCAAUCCAUGGUGAAAUAAACAGGAGAAUACAUGCUUGCAGAAGUUGUCAAGAGGCUCCAUUUAACCAUCAAAGACCAUGAGACCUACCAAUCCAGUGAUAGAGAUGGACACAAUCUCUCCUUGUGGAAGAACAAUGUAUCAAUUGCCAACAAACCAAACAUUUCAUCCUAUCUU
rnacentral:lncRNA from 1 species